GAUGAACGCUGGCGGCGUGCCUAAUACAUGCAAGUCGAGCGAACAGACGCGGAGCUUGCUCCUCUGACGUUAGCCGCGGACGGGUGAGUAACACGUGGAUAACCUACCUAUAUGACUGGUAUAACUUCGGGAAACCGGCGCUAAUACCGUAUAAUCUAUUGAACCGCAUGGUUCAAUAGUGAAAUACGGCUUUUCUGUCACUUCUAGAUGGAUACGAGCCGGAUUAGGUAGUUGGUAAGGUAACGGCUUAUGAAGGCGACUAUUCGUAGGCGACCUGAUAGAGUGAUAGCCCACACUGGAACUUAAACACAGUCAAGACUACUACGGGACGCAGCAGUAUGCAAUCUUCCGCAAUAGUCGAAAGCCUUACAGAACAACGCCAAGUGAGUUAUGAAAAUCUUCCGAUCGUAAAACACUGUUAUUAGGUAAAAACAAAUUUCUAAUUAAAUAUACACUUAUUGACGGUAACUAAUCAAAAAGCAACGGCUAACUACGUG
rnacentral:rRNA from 1 species